AUUGAACGCUGGCGGCAGGCUUAACACAUGCAAGUCGAGCGAGCGGCGGACGGGUGAGUAAUGUCUGGGAAACUGCCUGAUGGAGGGGGAUAACUACUGGAAACGGUCGCUAAUACCGCAUACCAUCAGAUGUGCCCCGAUGGGAUUAGCCAGUAGGUGGGGGAAUGGCUCACCUAGGCGACGAUCCCUAGUUGGUAUGAGAGGAUGACCAGCCACACUGGAACUGAGACACGGUCCAGACUACUACGGGAGGCAGCAGUGGGGAAUAAUGCAAAAAGGGAGGAAGCCUGAUGCAGCCAUGCCGCGUGUAUGAAGAAGGCCUUCGGGUUGUAAAGUACUUUCAGAGGGGAGGCGUUACCAGCAGAAGAAGCACCGGCUAACUCCGUGCCAGCAGCAGCGGGAUAC
rnacentral:rRNA from 1 species